UGGGGAAUAUUGCACAAUGGGCGGAAGCCUGAUGCAGCGACGCCGCGUGAGGGAUGACGGCCUUCGGGUUGUAAACCUCUUUCAGCAGGGACGAAGCGUGAGUGACGGUACCUGCAGAAGAAGCGCCGGCCAACUACGUGCCAGCAGCCGCGGUAAGACGUAGGGCGCGAGCGUUGUCCGGAUUUAUUGGGCGUAAAGAGCUCGUAGGCGGCUUGUCGCGUCGACUGUGAAAACCCGCGGCUCAACCGCGGGCCUGCAUUCGAUACGGGCAGGCUAGAGUUCGGUAGGGGAGACUGGAAUUCCUGGUGUAGCGGUGAAAUGCGCAGAUAUCAGGAGGAACACCGAUGGCGAAGGCAGGUCUCUGGGCCGAUACUGACGCUGAGGAGCGAAAGCGUGGGGAGCGAACA
rnacentral:rRNA from 1 species